GUAUGUCUGUGUGUGUGUGUGCAUGUCAGUAUGUCUGUGUGUGUAUGUCAGUAUGACAGACAUUCUGACAUACACACACAGACACACUGACAUACACAUACACACAC
rnacentral:miRNA from 1 species